GGUUUGUUGGUCUAAUAGUUAAGACACCACACUUUCACAGUGGUAAUAUGGGUUCAAGUCCCCUACAAACCG
rnacentral:tRNA from 1 species